rnacentral:rRNA from 1 species
CGGCGGACGGGUGAGUAACGCGUGGGCAACCUGCCUCACACAGGGGGAGUAACAGUUAGAAAUGACUGCUAAUACCGCAUAAGACCACGAAACCGCAUGGUUUUGAGGUAAAAACUCCGGUGGUGUGAGAUGGGCCCGCGUCUGAUUAGGUAGUUGGUGCGGUAACGGCGCACCAAGCCGACGAUCAGUAGCCGACCUGAGAGGGUGACCGGCCACAUUGGGACUGAGACACGGCCCAAACUCCUACGGGAGGCAGCAUG